GGGUCGAGACACCCUGUUGUGUGAUCUUAUGUGUCUUUCCCUCACUUAUACUCUAAUCUCAGCGGCAACCGAUGUUUGACAGUUGGUGUAAAUGUGAUAUGUAGGAUAUUCCACCUAGCUCAGCUGCAUUACAUUGUUGUUAAAAAUAAUUACAUUACGCCCAUGUGUUUUCAAAUGAUUUGAUAUGAAACUGCUUUAUAAUGGCUCUCAACUAUAUUUUGUAAAAAUAUUAUGUUUUGUUUUGAUAUCUCUGGGU
rnacentral:lncRNA from 1 species